rnacentral:tRNA from 1 species
UAAAAGAUAAGCUAAGGUUAAGCUAGUGGGCUCAUACCUCAUUUAUGGAUUAUUUCCUCUUUUUA